rfam:Megaselia scalaris, Durham, NC isolate 2 -- Noor lab, WGS project CAQQ02000000 data, contig: ctg0000318010
AGACCGGUCCUUUUCAGGACCAUCAAUUAUUUUUUAAAGAGUUUG